CAAAUUUCAGGGGCUCCUGCAGCUGAGACAUGGACCCUACUUUACGCCAAGCAGAGGGCCGUGGGGUUCCCUCGUGUGACUGUGAGGUUUGCUGGAGACUGCGAGCCUGCCAGUGUGGCCUCUGCCCUGCCUGGUGCCCAUCCUGUCUCCGAUCCACCUGCACGCCGCAUCCUGGAUCCUCAUCUCCCGCACCCAUGGAUUUCAGCAUCCAGUGUUUCUUGGCGUUCCCUCUCACAGGCCCAGUUCCUCAUGGACGUGAGACCUUCCCACCCAGCGUCUCCCCGAACACGGCCGAAUAACAGAAGAUCUUCUUCAGAAACCUCAAGCUCCGAUGAUGCCUUCAGACCCAUGAAGAUGGAGUGUGAAAUUCCAUGAAUAUCGAGUCUAUUUUCUGGACCCCAGAGCUGUGCGUCUUCCUCUCUGUCGGGCUCAUUCUGAAGCACAGUCCCAGCAUCCAUAUGGCAGAUGCAGCAUCCACGUGGCAGAUGCUUCCUGGACACUCUUAACAGCAUCCACAUGGCAGACGCUUCCUGGACACUCUUAACAGUCACAGGACACUUGGGCUAGUCAGGACACAGAGGACACAGCAGGCUGCAGCUGCAGAGCUUGAAAAGAUUUAUUUUAAAAGCCCAAGGGGAUAAAUACAGCAUCUCUCACAUUACUCCAUACUUAAAAAUAUUUGGAUUAAUUAUAUUAAAAAUUUGCAUUCAAAAGCGUU
rnacentral:lncRNA from 1 species